rnacentral:rRNA from 1 species
CCUGAGAAACCCGAAAGAUCGAAUGGGGAGAUUCAUCGUCAGCGUGUACCGAGUAUAUGUGCAAAUUGCGAUACAAUUUGUCUUCUUAUGGAGAUUAAUAUUUGUACGUGUUUGUAUCAUUUAUUUGCUCGGUAUUGUCGGCGUGCACUUCUCCUCUAGUAGAACGUCGCGACCCGUUGGGUGUUGAUCUACGACUUGGAUGGUUGACUUUAGUAUCAUAGUAAUAUGUUGUACUGGAGACCUCCGAUGUUUACUGAUUGACUGCCCGGCGGUAUGAACAUGGUAUUGUGUCGCCAAUAUGCGUCAAGUCUGAACACAAGCACGAUCAAUGUUUAAGUAGUUACGGACCUAGUGCCGUCACUUUGCUUGGUUAGCUGUUAGUUGUACAGUCACUUUGACAGACACAAAUUGAAUAUAUUAAUACCGGUCAGCGAUGCUACUGCUUUGGGUACUUUCAGGACCCGUCUUGAAACACGGACCAAGGAGUCUAACAUGUACGCGAGUCAUUGGGUUCUAUUUUUUAAAUUUAAACCUAAAGGCGUAAUGAAAGUAAAAGUUGUCCUUGUGUCAACUGAGGGAGGAUAAGGUAUUUUACGAUAUAUCUUCGCACUCCCGGGGCGUCUCAUUCUUAUUACAAGAAGAAGNCGCACUAG